rnacentral:tRNA from 1 species
UAGGAUUAUAGUUAAAUAUAACAUUUAAUUUGCAAUUAAAAAGUAUUGAAUUCUCAAUUAAUCUUAA